rnacentral:rRNA from 1 species
UACGUAGGGGGCUAGCGUUGUCCGGAUUUAUUGGGCGUAAAGAGCGUGUAGGCGGCCAGAUAGGUCCGUUGUGAAAACUGGAGGCUUAACCUCCAGCUGUCGAUGGAAACCAUCUGGCUAGAGUCCGGAAGAGGAGAGUGGAAUUCCUGGUGUAGCGGUGAAAUGCGCAGAUAUCGGGAGGAACACCAAUGGCGAAGGCAGCUCGCUGGGACGGUACUGACGCUGAGACGCGAAAGCGUGGGGAGCAAACAGG